GUUUCCCAUCCUACGCUUCCCGGUUGUUCAGCCCAUGGUGCUCUUGACUGAGCGUUUUGGGUGGCCGGAACGUUUACUUUGAAGAAAUUAGAGUGUUCAAAGCAGGCACGCCGCCUGAAUAAUGGUGCAUGGAAUAAUGGAAUAGGACCUCGGUCUUAUUUUGCUGGUUUUCCUGACUGCGAGGUAAUGAUUAAGAGGGACAGACGGGGGCAUCCGUAUUGCGGUGUUAGAGGUGAAAUUCUUGGAUCAUCGCAAGACGAACGACUGCGAAAGCAUUUGCCAAGCAUGUUUUCAUUAGUCAAGAACGAAAGUCAGAGGUUCGAAGACGAUCAGAUACCGUCGUAGUUCUGACCAUAAACGAUGCCAACUAGCGAUUCGCUGGUGUUGCUUCAUCGACUCCGCGGGCAGCUUCCGGGAAACCAAAGUUUUCGGGUUCCGGGGGAAGUAUGGUUGCAAAGCUGAAACUUAAAGGAAUUGACGGAGGGGCACCACCAGGAGUGGAGCCUGCGGCUUAAUUUGACUCAACACGGGAAAACUCACCCGGUCCGGACACUGUAAGGAUUGACAGAUUGAUAGCUCUUUCUUGAUUCGGUGGGUGGUGGUGCAUGGCCGUUCUUAGUUGGUGGAGCGAUUUGUCU
rnacentral:rRNA from 2 species